rnacentral:rRNA from 1 species
UACAGAGGGGGCAAGCGUUGUUCGGAAUUACUGGGCGUAAAGGGCGCGUAGGCGGCCUUCUAAGUCGAACGUGAAAUCCCCGGGCUCAACCCGGGAACUGCGUCCGAUACUGGAAGGCUUGAAUCCGGGAGAGGGAUGCGGAAUUCCAGGUGUAGCGGUGAAAUGCGUAGAUAUCUGGAGGAACACCUGCGGCGAAGGCGGGUUGCUGGGCCGACACUGACGCUGAGGCGCGAAAGCCAGGGGAGCGAACGGG